rnacentral:lncRNA from 1 species
AAGUCAAGAUCCCGAAUAAGAAGCGGUGACGACAACCAGCGGACCCGUCCGGCUCCUCUCGCCAGAGCGCAGCCAUGAAGCCGUCUCCCCCGCUUCUGUGCGGGGCCGGAAGUGACGAAGUGAAGAGGCGCCUCCCCCCUCCCACCCCCGACGUUGCUCGGCGACGCACUUCCGGCGCAGGUCGCCGAGAGGGAGAGACCAGCUGAGGCGACGGUUUCCCUCAACGCGAGUUAACUGUCCUGCAAACUGACCGGCUCCCCUCUUUUGUUUUUUCCGCGACGCUGUUGGGGGGAGAAAAUAAAGAGACAUCCCCCUUAUUCCGUCCUCCUAUGAGGUCGAAUGGCCGUGACUAAAGUAGAAAAUAUGGGGACAAAAAACCAGCUCCUUUUUUUUUGGCUGACUAGGAUAAAUUUUCGGGGGGAGGGCCGUCUCUCUCUCUCUCUCUCUCUCUCCAAACCGGGUGGAAACUCUCCCCCCUUCAACCAAGAGAAAAGAAACGCGUCGUUAACAAUAAAACACAGUUACAAACAGCGUCAACUUCCACUUCUGUCUUCGCGUUGUUGUUUUUUUUUUAAAAAACAAAACCAUCCCCCACUCUCAGUUACUAAAGCCACAGAAAGGAGAUUCACCCUCCUCCCUUUAUAUGAACCUGUUAGCUGUUCCCUGUCCAGUCUGGGGCGGCUCAGUGGGAGAAAGAGAGGAGCCAUUUACCGACGGGAGGAUGAAGAAUGGCGUCGUCUCCCGGCCCCGGGAACGAGGCAUGAUGGGAACCCGCUGCUACAGGAUAAAUUGGCUCUUUCUCUCUCCGACGGUCGCCUCCGACGUACCAUAACCAUGUCUCAGUGUCAAGACCUAGUGCCUGCUGACCAGCAGCUGAUGAACGACAUGGGGAUGUUCCGAGAUCUGCUCCCGGCCGCAGAGAAGACGGCUCUGCUCUUCCACCUGUCCUACCUGUGUCUGGCCACCCACCCCGAGCUGGAGAGGAAGCUGAGGCUCAAGGCCAC